rnacentral:rRNA from 1 species
UUCCAGCUCCAAUAGCGUAUAUUAAAGUUGUUGCGGUUAAAAAGCUCGUAGUUGGAUUUCUGUUCCAGACUGGCGGUCCACCGAACGGUGGCGACUGUCAGGCCUGAACAUCCGGUCGGUUCUCGACAGAUUUUCCCGCGGUGCUCUUCGUUGAGUGUCGCGGGAGGCCGACAAGUUUACUUUGAAAAAAUUAGAGUGCUCAAAGCAGGCGCUUCGGCCUGAAUAAUGGUGCAUGGAAUGAUGGAAUAGGACCUCGGUUCUAUUUUGUUGGUUUUCGCAACUCGAGGUAAUGAUUAAGAGGGACAGACGGGGGCAUUCGUAUUGCGACGCUAGAGGUGGAAUUCUUGGACCGUCGCAAGACGAACUACUGCGAAAGCAUUUGCCAAGAAUGUUUUCAUUAAUCAAGAACGAAAGUUAGAGGUUCGAAGGCGAUCAGAUACCGCCCUAGUUCUAACCAUAAACGAUGCCAACCAGCGAUCCGCCGGAGUUCCUUCUAUGACU